rnacentral:RNase_P_RNA from 1 species
CCAGGGGGCCGGGCAGCCGCGCCCUUCGUCAGGCUCAGGAUGAGCGGGCGGAGGUCGAGGAAAGUCCGGGCUCCACGAAACAAGGGUGGCGGGUAACGCCCGCCGGGUGGAGGGCUUCGGCCGUCCGCUCAGGGAAAGUGCCACAGAGAGUAUACCGCCGAUGGCCCCUAAAAGGCACAGGCAUGGGUGAAAGGGUGCGGUAAGAGCGCACCGGGGCUGCGGCAACGCAGCUCGCACGGCAAACCCCACCCGGAGCAAGACCGAAUAGGGGUCUCGCGCCCAUUCUAGGGCAGGGGUGUUUCGCCCCGAGAGGCCCGGGUUGGUUGCUUGAGCCUUGCGGCAACGCAAGGCCUAGAUGAAUGGCUGCCCUUGCGGGGACGUGGUCUUCGGAUACCGCCCGCGAGACAGAACCCGGCUUACAGGCCCCCUGGCUCC